rnacentral:rRNA from 1 species
AACGAACGCUGGCGGCAUGCCUAACACAUGCAAGUCGAACGAUUCCUUCGGGCAUAGUGGCGCACGGGUGCGUAACGCGUGGGAAUCUGCCUUUCGGUUCGGAAUAACUCAGGGAAACUUGAGCUAAUACCGGAUAACGUCGCAAGACCAAAGAUUUAUCACCGAAAGAUGAGCCCGCGUAGGAUUAGCUAGUUGGUGAGGUAAAGGCUCACCAAGGCGACGAUCCUUAGCUGGUCUGAGAGGAUGAUCAGCCACACUGGGACUGAGACACGGCCCAGACUCCUACGGGAGGCAGCAGUGGGGAAUAUUGGACAAUGGGCGAAGGGCUGAUCCAGCAAUGCCGCGUGAGUGAUGAAGGCCUUAGGGUUGUAAAGCUCUUUUACCCGGGAAGAUAAUGACGGUACCGGGAGAAUAAGCCCCGGCUAACUCCGUG